rnacentral:rRNA from 1 species
CCUACGGGGUGCUGCAGUGGGGAAUAUUGGACAAUGGGCGAAAGCCUGAUCCAGCCAUGCCGCGUGUGUGAAGAAGGCCUUCGGGUUGUAAAGCACUUUCAGUGGGGAAGAAAGCCUUGGGGCUAAUACCCUCGAGGAAGGACAUCACCCACAGAAGAAGCACCAGCUAACUCCGUGCCAGCAGCCGCGGUAAUACGGAGGGUGCGAGCGUUAAUCGGAAUUACUGGGCGUAAAGCGCGCGUAGGCGGUCUGAUAAGCCGGUUGUGAAAGCCCCGGGCUCAACCUGGGAACGGCAUCCGGAACUGUCAGGCUAGAGUGCAGGAGAGGAAGGUAGAAUUCCCGGUGUAGCAGUGAAAUGCGUAGAGAUCGGGAGGAAUACCAGUGGCGAAGGCGGCCUUCUGGACUGACACUGACGCUGAGGUGCGAAAGCGUGGGUAGCAAACAGGAUUAGAUACCCGAGUAGUC